rnacentral:snRNA from 1 species
GCGUUAGAUGUGGACCCGAGUGCUUGAUUUGACAGCACACCCAGGAAGGUUGGCAUGGCCCCUGUAGAAGGGUGACACAUAAAUUCCUGAAGCAUUCCAUGUUUUA